GACGAACGCUGGCGGCGUGGAUUAGGCAUGCAAGCCGAACGGUAUCAUCCUUUCGGGGGUGAGAGAGUGGCGAACUGGUGAGUAACACGUAGGUUAUCUACCCUCAAGACGGGGACAACCCAGGGAAACUUGGGCUAAUACCGGAUGUGAGCAACUUUUAGUUGUUUGAAAGGUGGCGUAAGCUGUCGCUUGGGGAUGAGCCUGCGUCCUAUUAGUUAGUUGGUGAGGUAACGGCUCACCUAGGCAAUGAUAGGUAGGCGGCCUUAACGGGUGGUCGCCCACACUGGGAUUGAGAUACGGCCCAGACUCCUACGGGAGCAGCAGUCGAGAAUAGUCUACAAUGGUCGGAAGACUGAUAGUGCGACGCCGCGUGAACGAUGAAUCCCUUCGGGGUGUAAAGUUCUUUUAUAUGUGAGCAGUGCUUCUUAUAUUAACAGUAUGGGGAGAGAGAUAUUAGCAUAUGAAUAAGCAACGGCUAACUCCGUGCCAGCAGCCGACGGU
rnacentral:rRNA from 1 species